rnacentral:rRNA from 1 species
UACGUAGGUGACCAGCGUUGUCCGGAUUUACUGGGCGUAAAGAGCGCGCAGGCGGUCGUUCAAGUCGAGUGUGAAAGCCCCCGGCUCAACUGGGGAGGGUCACUCGAUACUGAUCGACUGGAAGGCAGGAGAGGGAAGUGGAAUUCCCGGUGUAGCAGUGAAAUGCGUAGAUAUCGGGAGGAAUACCGAUGGCGAAGGCAGGUCUCUGGGCUAUAACUGACGCUCAUGCACGAAAGCGUGGGGAGCAAACAGG